rnacentral:rRNA from 1 species
AGUUUGAUCCUGGCUCAGGAUGAACGCUGGCGGCGUGCCUAAUACAUGCAAGUCGAACGAAUCUCUUUUAGAGAUGAGUGGCGAACGGGUGAGUAAUACAUAGGUAACCUGCCCCUGUGCGGGGGAUAACAGGAGGAAACUCCUGCUAAUACCGCAUAGCCAUGAGCACCGCAUGGAGCUCAUGCCAAAUAUCCUUUCGGGGAUAGCGCAGGGAUGGACCUAUGGCGCAUUAGCUUGUUGGCGGGGCAACGGCCCACCAAGGCAACGAUGCGUAGCCGGCCUGAGAGGGCGGACGGCCACAUUGGGACUGAGACACGGCCCAGACUCCUACGGGAGGCAGCAGUAGGGAAUUUUCGGCAAUGGGGGAAACCCUGACCGAGCAACGCCGCGUGAGCGAAGAAGGCCUUCGGGUCGUAAAGCUCUGUUGUAAAGGAAGAACGGCGCAUACAGGAAAUGGUAUGCGAGUGACGGUACUUUACCAGAAAGCCACGGCUAACUACGUGCCAGCAGCCGCGGUAAUACGUAGGUGGCGAGCGUUAUCCGGAAUCAUUGGGCGUAAAGAGGGAGCAGGCGGCCGCAAGGGUCUGUGGUGAAAGACCGAAGCUAAACUUCGGUAAGCCAUGGAAACCGGGCGGCUAGAGUGCGGAAGAGGAUCGUGGAAUUCCAUGUGUAGCGGUGAAAUGCGUAGAUAUAUGGAGGAACACCAGUGGCGAAGGCGACGGUCUGGGCCGCAACUGACGCUCAUUCCCGAAAGCGUGGGGAGCAAAUAGGAUUAGAUACCCUAGUAGUCCACGCCGUAAACGAUGGUCACUAAGUGUCGGGGGUCAAACCCCGGUGCUGCAGUCAACGCAAUAAGUGACCCGCCUGAGUAGUACGUUCGCAAGAAUGAAACUCAAAGGAA